rnacentral:misc_RNA from 1 species
GAUGAAGAACGUAGCGAAAUGCGAUAAGUAAUGUGAAUUGCAGAAUUCAGUGAAUCAUCAAAUCUUUGAACGCACAUUGCGCCCGCCAGCACUCUGGCGGGCAUGCCUGUUCGAGCGUCAUUUCAACCAUCAAGCCCCAGGCUUGUGUUGGAGCCCUGCGGCCGUCCGCAGCCUCCUAAAAUCAGUGGCGGGCUCGCUAUCACACCGAGUGCAGUAGUUUACUCUUCGCUCAGGACGUGUAGCGGGUUCCGGCCGUGAAACCCCCCAAUUUUCAAGGUUGACCUCGGAUCAGGUAGGAAUACCCGCUGAACUUAAGCAUAUCAAUAAGCGGAGGA